UACGGAGGGUGCAAGCGUUAUCCGGAUUCACUGGGUUUAAAGGGUGCGUAGGCGGGCAGGUAAGUCAGUGGUGAAAUCCCCGAGCUUAACUUGGGAACUGCCGUUGAUACUAUCUGUCUUGAAUAUCGUGGAGGUAAGCGGAAUAUGUCAUGUAGCGGUGAAAUGCUUAGAUAUGACAUAGAACACCGAUUGCGAAGGCAGCUUACUACACGAUCAUUGACGCUGAGGCACGAAAGCGUGGGGAGCAAACAGG
rnacentral:rRNA from 2 species